rnacentral:misc_RNA from 1 species
UUUCCGUAGGUGAACCUGCGGAAGGAUCAAUAAUGAGUUGUCAUGGGGUUCGAUGCUGGCAGCCAAUUUUUGGAUGCAUGUGCUUGCCCUAACAAUCAUCUUCCAAACACCUGCGCACAUUUUUGAGGGAGUCUUGAGUUGGUUGCCGCUCUUGGGUGAUUUUCUCACAUUCCCUUAAAUCAUUAUACGCUAUUAACAAUGUUGAACGUGCUCUGUGCCGCAAGGCUAUUAAUAUAAUACAACUUUUAACAACGGAUCUCUUGGCUCUC